GAUGAACGCUGGCGGCGUGCUUAACACAUGCAAGUCGAACGGAAAGGCUCCUGCUUGCAGGGGUACUCGAGUGGCGAACGGGUGAGUAACACGUGGGUGAUCUGCCCUGCACUUCGGGAUAAGCCUGGGAAACUGGGUCUAAUACCGGAUAGGACGAUGGUUUGGAUGCCAUUGUGGAAAGUUUUUUCGGUGUGGGAUGAGCUCGCGGCCUAUCAGCUUGUUGGUGGGGUAAUGGCCUACCAAGGCGUCGACGGGUAGCCGGCCUGAGAGGGUGUACGGCGACAUGGGGGCUGAGGGGAGGCCGGGGCUCCUACGGGAGGCGGCAGUGGGGUGGGGUGCGCAAUGGGCUCGGGCCUGAUGCCGCGUCGCCGCGGGGGGGAGGACGGCCGUCGGGUGGUAAACAACUGUCGCUGGGGACGAAGCGCAAGUGACGGUACCUGGAGAAGAAGCACCGGCUAACUACGUG
rnacentral:rRNA from 1 species